rnacentral:tRNA from 1 species
GUUUUAAUAAUUUAAAUAAAAUAUUGGUCUUGUAAACCGAAAAUAAGAGUGGUCUUUUAAAACU